rnacentral:rRNA from 1 species
UUGAGAGUUUGAUUCUGGCUCAGAACGAACGCUGGCGGCAGGCUUAACACAUGCAAGUCGAACGAUAUAGUGGCAGACGGGUGAGUAACGCGUGGGAACGUACCUUUCACUACGGAAUAGCUCUUGGAAACGAGUGGUAAUACCGUAUACGCCCUUCGGGGGAAAGAUUUAUCGGUGAAAGAUCGGCCCGCGUUAGAUUAGCUAGUUGGUAGGGUAAUGGCCUACCAAGGCGACGAUCUAUAGCUGGUCUGAGAGGAUGAUCAGCCACACUGGGACUGAGACACGGCCCAGACUCCUACGGGAGGCAGCAGUGGGGAAUCUUGCACAAUGGGCGAAAGCCUGAUGCAGCCAUGCCGCGUGAAUGAUGAAGGCCUUAGGGUUGUAAAAUUCUUUCGCUAGGGAUGAUAAUGACAGUACCUAGUAAAGAAGCCCCGGCUAACUUCGUGCCAGCAGCCGCGGUAAUACGAAGGGGGCUAGC